rnacentral:lncRNA from 1 species
CAUAGGAUGCACCAAAGGGGAUGGAUGCAUCGGUGCCUGCAAGAUUAGACACAAAUUUCAUCAGAAAAACAGAUAUCAAACAAAGAAAGAACCAGGAGUUGUAACAUAUACUAGAACAAGAAGGAAAAGGCAAACUUACAUCGCAUAUACUGAACCAAGAGCAGUCAGAAGACAAGGCCCUGAUCAUGAAGGCCAUACAGGCUUCCUUCCAGCUCCAACGAGCCAUGGUGGCCAUAAAGGAACUUGUUCAUCCUCCUCGGAAGAGGAAGAGGAAUCGGCCAUGGGCGAGGAGGCUAGAGUAGAGGAUAUCGGGGAUAGAACACGAGCUAGGCGACGCAAACCAAGAGGCUCACGCAAAAGGAGCUG